CCUACGGGCGGCUGCAGUGGGGAAUAUUGGACAAUGGGGGGAACCCUGAUCCAGCCAUGCCGCGUGUGUGAAGAAGGCCCUCGGGUUGUAAAGCACUUUCAGUGAGGAAGAACGCCUGGUGGUUAAUACCCAUCAGGAAAGACAUCACUCACAGAAGAAGCACCGGCUAACUCCGUGCCAGCAGCCGCGGUAAUACGGAGGGUGCGAGCGUUAAUCGGAAUUACUGGGCGUAAAGCGCGCGUAGGUGGCUUGAUAAGCCGGUUGUGAAAGCCCCGGGCUCAACCUGGGAACGGCAUCCGGAACUGUCAAGCUAGAGUGCAGGAGAGGAAGGUAGAAUUCCCGGUGUAGCGGUGAAAUGCGUAGAGAUCGGGAGGAAUACCAGUGGCGAAGGCGGCCUUCUGGACUGAAACUGACACUGAGGUGCGAAAGCGUGGGUAGCAAACAGGAUUAGAUACCCUAGUAGUC
rnacentral:rRNA from 1 species